AUUGAACGCUGGCGGCAGGCCUAACACAUGCAAGUCGAACGAGUGGCGGACGGGUGAGGAAUGUCUGGGCAACUGCCCGAUGGAGGGGGAUAACUACUGGAAACGGUAGAUAAUACCGAAUAAGAUCGGAUGUGUCCAGAUGUGGUUAGCUAGUAGGUGGGGUAACGGCUCACCUAGGUGGCGAUCCCUAGCUGGACUGAGGGGAUGACCAGACACCUGGUCACGGAGACACGUUCCAGACUCCUGAGGGAGGCCGCAGUGGAGAAUAUUGCACAAGGGGCGCAAGCCUAAUGCUGCCCGGCCGCGUGAAUGAAGAAGGCCUUAGGGUUGGAAAGUACUGUCAGCGUGGGGGCGUGACUCGAAGAAGAAGCCCCCGCUAAAUCCGUGCCAGCCGCCGCGGUAAUAC
rnacentral:rRNA from 1 species